rnacentral:rRNA from 1 species
GGGUAACACGCCCUAAGGUGGGGGAUAAUCUCGGGAAACUGAGGAUAAUACCCCAUAGGUCUGAUAUGCUGGAAUGCUUUCAGGCCGUAAACUCCGGUGCCUUAGGGUUGGCCUGCGGUCUAUCAGGCUGUAGUGGGUGUAAUGGACCCACUAGCCCGUGACGGAUAUGGGCCUUGAGAGAGGGAGCCCAGAGAUGGACUCUGAGACAUGAGUCCAGGCCCUACGGGGCGCAGCAGUCGCGAAAACUUCGCAAUGGGGGCAACCCCGACGAGGGAAUUCCAAGUGCCAGCACUUUGUGUUGGCUGUUCUCCUGUCUAAAAAACAGGAGGAGUAAGGGGCGGGUAAGACGGGUGCCAGCCGCCGCGGUAAUACCCGCGCCCCUAGUGGUGGUCGAUAUUAUUGAGCCUAAAACGUCCGUAGCCGGUCUUCUAAAUCCUUGGGUAAAUCGGGCAGCUUAACUGUCCGAAGUCCGGGGAGACUGGGAGACUUGGGACCGGGAGAGGUCAGAGGUACUUCUGGGGUAGGGGUAAAAUCCUGUAAUCCUGGAAGGACCACCGGUGGCGAAGGCGUCUGACUAGAACGGAUCCGACGGUGAGGGACGAAGCCCUGGGGCGCAAACGGGAUUAGAUACCCCGGUAGUCCAGGGUGUAAACGCUGCGGGCUUGGUGUUGGGGUCCUUAGUGGGCGCCCAGUGCCGGAGAGAAGUUGUUAAGCCUGCUGCUUGGGGAGUAUGUCCGCAAGGAUGAAACUUAA